CCCGCCCCCGCCCGCUCAGCGUCGCACUAGCGCCAUUGCCUGCGCUUCACUUCCUCACUCGUACGGAUGCUGUAUGAAUGGUUAGGAGCAGGACAGUCAUGAGAGAAAGGCUGUUUGCAGUUUUUAUGUUCGCGAUCACUUCAUUUACGGGAUAUACUCGGGCUUCGGAAAAAAAGGAAGAAUGUCCUGCAAAGCAGGAAAUCUCAUGUGCGAGCCUGCGCACGACUGAGGGGUUCACUUACCCGGUGCCCUUUAACAUGCCAAACUCCGGAGAUUGCGAGUAUGCGUGGUAUAAGAAUGGAACAUGCAUUUUUCAUUCAGAUGGCAAAAGGUUAGGGUUUGUAGUAGCUGGGACACAUGAGACACUGACGGUCAACAGCUGUGAGGACCUGCAGUGGGAGCUUCGCUGUGACAGCAUUCAGUUUCACUGUACUGUCAGUUACACAGUUAUAGACCCUGAGGGACACGAUGGCAACCACAAUGGUGGUUUACCUGACUGGGGUGCUGCUUUAAUUGGGAUUGGAACUGGGAUUGGGAUUGUUGGUGCAUUAAUCGCAGUUUGGUUUUAUCAUCGAAAUGGUGAAAACACGUCAAAUUACUAAUAUCCGGAAUGAAGUGGUGGUUCUGGACUGUUAACCAUAAGGGGUGAUCUUGUGCUAUUGCCAUUGUCACUUUUCUAGCCUAGCAUUUUGCUGCUUUGGCAGCAUAUCACAGCUUUGUAGAUUCUAGUGCUAGUUUGUCUUCUUUAAAUCUAAAAGUAAUUGUGACACAGUCUUGUGCUACAAGGCAAAACUACUGUAAAGAGGGCACUGACACAAAAAAGAAAACUUAUAAAAUAUAUAUAUAUAUAUAUUAUAUUAUCAAUCAUAAUAAUCAUCAUAAUAAAUAAUAAUGGUUUUAUUAUAAAUAUGUAUAAAACAUAAAUAUGCUAACUACAUUUACCCCUCCCCUGAAUGAGCAGUUUUAAAUUAAUUUCCCAUUCUGAUUCAUUAUGGGGAUUAUGCUAAAUCCUACAGAGAUCACUGAGAUACUAUGUAGCAUAAUACAAUUAUUAUGCAAAUUAAGGUACAAAAAUAUUUUUUAAGUUCUACUUACUCAUAUGGACAUAAGGGGGGCAUGUAUGUUUACUGUGUACAGUACUGUGCAAAAGAUGGUUAUUUAUCUCUACCUGCAAAGCUAUACUAACAGCUGUUUCAAGGGCAGUAGGGUGUUCAUAUACAGUAAGAUUGAUUUGAUUUAGUUAAUAAAUGUUAACUGAUAAAUUAAAUCAAUUUAUUAUUACAUUAUUUUUGAAGAUUUCCACACUACCCUAGUGAAAAAUAAAUAUACUAAAAUGUAUUUGAAAUGCAUUUAUUUGAUGCUAAGUAUACUACAAAUGCAUUUACAUAUUAUGGGCCCUAUUUUAAUGAUCUAAGCGCAUGGUCUAAAGCGCACGGCGCAGGUGCACUUGGGGUGUUUCCUAAUCUAUCGGCGCGCCCGGUGCAUGGUCUAAAAGGGUUGUCCCUAUUCUCUUAAUGAGUAAUGGGUGUGUUUUUGGGCAUAAUGUGCUAUAAACCAAUCAGAGUCUCAUCUCCCAUUCCCUUUAAGAGCGAGUUGCGCUCGCGCCAUGGCGGAUUCGCUAUUUAAACGGUGGAAUUUUAAAGGGGUCAUAUGGUGCUUUUUUAAAGAUCAUUAUUUGGUGUAACAGAAUAUGUUGACAUGCUUUAAUGUUCAAAAAACAUAUUAUUUUUCAAAUACUGUACAUUAUUGUAGGUCAUAGAGGCCCCGCCUCUCUCAAACGCUUCGUUUUCUACAAAGUCCCUCCUUCCGACAAGCGCUUUCUCUCCCUCUCUCUCGUGCUCUCUUUCUAUCCCUCUCUCUCGUGCUCUCUUUCUCUCUCCCUCUCUCUCCCGCGCUCUCUCUCGCGCUCUCUCUCUCACGCGCGCACGCACACACACACAUACACGAUGCGCAAAACUCUGCAUUUGAACAGUCAAUAGCAAAUACUUAAACUAAUAACAAAACAGUAGCUGAUUCAGAAGCGCCAGAUUGUCGUAGCAAAGUCAGAAUUACCUCCUCUCCUAGGUUCACGAAACGGUCAUCCAUAAAAUGCAUUGCUGUUCUGUUGUAAGUAAUCUUAAAGAUUCCUAAAUGCAUCUACUUCUGAAAGGCCAAAUAAAGUGCUUUUGCUUUCGCCUAUAAACACACAGCGUCUCCCUGACAUGGCUGCUUCCACACUAACUGCGGUUACUGAAACCACGCCUUCUUUCUUUGCGUGCACAUUUGGGUGGCAUUAUGCUAAUAUUUCCACAUAGUGAGGUAGAUAUGUGGGGGCAUGUUAGAACAAGCCGUUUUAGGGGGGCGUGGCAGAGUCUUAACUUUGAUAAAGAAUAUCUCUUUGGGUUUGAGACUUUAGUCUUUGCAACUUCAGGGAUCUUAUCUAUGCACAAUCCGCUUGUAACACUCCAAAGAGAAAGGAAAACUUGAAAUCGCAUCAUAUUACCCCUUUAAGGCACACAGACUGAACGGGUCUCCAGAGAGCAAAGGGAUCUGCUCAUGCGCGAGCAAGUAGGUAGGCUAAUUCUGAUACACGCAGUGACUAUCCAUUAUGACAUGUAUGACAUUUUUAUAUUUAUGUAGCCUUACUGUAAUCCUUUAAUUUUUAAUAGUUGGCAUGUUUGUGUGCUGCUGCGCGUCCCUGUGUGUAAUAAGCAAAAUGAACGCGCGUUGUGGACCCGCCCAGAUGCGCAUUUUCUACUAACGCGGUCUUUAAAUAACAAAAAGCUAUAGAGAAAUUGACUUUAGACUUUAGACCAGGUUUGAGUUGGUCUAUGGCGCAGUCUAUUUUCAGUUCCUCAAAAUAGCAACGCGCCAACGAUGCGCCUGAACACACCUCUUUUUUAGACCAGCACGCCCAUGGGCGCACAAAUGGGCGCAAAUGCAUUUGCAGACCUGCCAGCCUACGCAUUUUGCGUAGCGGAUACGCAUUUUGACUUCAAAGUACGCUGGUACGAUUUGUCACUCUCUAAACUACGCAAAAAAACCUGGUGACGCCUCUGUCCACGCGCAGUAUUCAAAACAAGCAACAGAAAAAGAUGAAGAGGUCAACCAAUCAGAGCGUUUUUUAGGUUUUGCUUUUAAAUUUCCGUGCGUUUUAUUUCUCUCCAAGCUGGCUCUGUUUGUGUGUCCGUAAGUCUGCGCGCUGAGAUGAGUAAACGCCUGGAUCUGAAAAAGCAACACGCGCCGUGCAUCUUCCCUUGUAAUGACUAAACCAGGGGUGCCCAAACUCGGUCCUGGAGGUCCGGUGUCCUGCAGAGUUUAGCUCCAACCCCAAUUAAACACCCCUGAACCAGCUAAUCAAGCACUUAUAGGCAUACUAGAAACUUACCAGCAGGAGUGUUGAGGCAAGUUGGAGCUAAACUCUGCAGGACACCGGCCCUCCAGGACCGAGUUUGGGCAGCCCUGGACUAAACCUUUUGUCCAACAACAAAAAAGAACAUUAUAACAUUCUUUUACUGCACAACAUCAGACAAAUGUUUAAAAUAAUUUCCUUCUUGAUCUGAGGUGGCUUCUUAUCACAGAAUGACACAUAAAUAUAUUCUACACUGGAAUAAUGGCUAAAUCGAUUAGCAGUGGAUUAUAAAUAUAACAUUACUUAAUUAUUAAAAUACUCGAGGUGGUUUUAAGAACACAGAUAAACAUUGUCGCAGUACAGUGUUUAUUAUCUUAAUGUUCUUUUUGAGUGUCAUCAUUCAAAGCGUUUCUGUCUUCUUUCAUUCAGUUACAGCGAUAGUUGGCUUUUUUGUCUUUAUUAGGGAGCGUCCUGAGUUCUAUUUCUUCUAUAAUGUAUAUGUGGAUUUUCUGCGCGAGGGCGCCCUCAGGCAUCUAGUGUGAAUGAAACACACAUUACAUGUGUUCAUAGCAUAGGUUCAUAGCACUAAAUAAUGGCCAAUCCAUAAAAAUAAUACUUCUUUUUUUUAAAUAGCAUUUAAAAAUAGCAUAAAAUAUAACUAAACCAAAAACUGUGGUAAUUUUUUUUUUAAACUGAGGUAUUUAUUGAACCGUGGGCUAACUGUAUUGUUGCAUCCCUACUGUUUACUGUACAAUAACAGUAAUAUUACAAACUGAGUGCAGACCCUGAUUAUUAACCUAUACAAAAUAUAUUUAACAUUAAAUCUUGCAAAAACUUGCAAGUUUUUUUGCAACUUGCAAAAGUCUCGAGCG
rnacentral:lncRNA from 1 species